UUUAUUUAGUGAACUUGGUGAUUGUUUUGGUAUUUUGCUGAUGGAGAAACAAGUUUGGGAAUUAGACAGAUUUAUGCCACUUACAUAGAUCAGCGAAAAUGGGGAUAUUCGUAGAGGAAAAUAUCUGUAUUCUGUUCGACAAAGUACACACUGUCAUGGGUAUAUGACAAGAAACAGAAAGAUGUGUUUCAUCCAGUGUUCACAGGGGUUGAAGAGCUUUGCUAGCACUUACAGCUAGAGCUAGUCCAACAGAUUGUGCCAAAUACUGUAAACAUUGUGUACUAAGUACAUGUAUAAAAAUAACCAUUAGAAAUAGUACAGUUGAACUCCAAGGCAUAAAACAUAGAAGAAAUCAGUGAUCAAAGUAUCUGUGGAUCUGAAAGCCUCUUGUAAGUCACUAAGUGGGAAGUAAAUGUUAUGAACAAAGACUUAUAAUGUGAUUUACAUGCAUUUACAGAAAGAUAAAAUAAGGAUUUUUGACCUUGUUUAUUUAUUUUAAAAUAAAAUUGGGAUGGAGAAUUAUGUGACAUAUUACUACAGCAAAGAUCAAAUCAAAUCAUCAAUCAGAGCCAAAUAGCAGUCUUAAAGUCUUCACCACUGCAAAAAUGUUGAAAUAUGGUUAGACUUCAAUACUUGUACAGUAUGGACCAUCAUCAGUAUAUGAUCAGAUACCUGCAUUCAACAUAGAGAUUAAGUUUAAGAUGUGUUGGAACACUUUCUCAUGGAAUGCUUUAAUUACUUUAUAGUAUGUGUAAUUUCAGGUCAAGGUUUUGCCCAGAUUUUGCCCAAAAUGUUAAGUUUUGUGAAAGGCGACAGCCUUAUGGUGACAUAUUCAUGAAAACUACAUAUGUAUUGGUGCUGCAAGUUGUGACCUUUAUCAAAAAGAUGUAAUGAUGGAAAUUUUACUGGUCAUAUGAAAUACAUGUGCAUGUGCAAUUUAAAUUUUAUAUAUUAAUUAGAAUCUUUAGUUUCCUAUCAACACUCACAUCAAAUGGCUGUACUUAGGUUUAAAAUUCUGGCAUCAUUUUCCAUGAAAUUUAGAUCUUUUCUUUUACAAUUUUGUAAUUUUUGAUAAAUUUUAAAAUUAGCUGUUUCUGAAACAUGAAAAUUUACUGUGUGAGAUAUUGUGUAAUGCAUUAAGGAUGUAACAAGUUGAAUUUUGUUGACUUUAUUUUCUGCCCACAUCAGGCACCAGUAUUUUGUGAAUGAUAUCCCCUUUAUAAAUUUGAAUAUUUGGGGUAUUUACAGCAUCUAUGUUAUUACUGUUGCUUACCCUAAAUGAGAUAGCACCUUUAAUUAAUUAACAAUGAGUUAUGUCUAAUUUUUUCACAGUCUUGAAUAAAUGUAGAUCUGCAGGAAAUGUUAUAAUUACAUUGUAAAUGAUUGCAUUUGAACUGGGGGCAUUUGUUUCACAUUAAGCAUCAUAUCAUAUAGAACAAGCUGCAUAAAUCCUGCAUAAUUAUUUUUGUUUAGGAAUAUGGUUCCUGAUCCUAAGUUAGAUUUUUUAAUUCAACUUGUAAUGUCUGAACUUACAGUUUUGCUUUACAUGAAAUUAUUUAUGGGAUAUUUGUCAUUCAUGACAACAUAAUAAGACUUGCAGCAUUUCUAUACUAAGCAUGAAAUAUCUUCUAGUGAGUGUUAACCAAAUAAAUUUUGUUCAAAUAAAAGCUCGGGGACAAAAUUGGCCCUGCCCAGAAGGGGGUCAUUGUUUUUCCCUUAAUGUGUAAAGUAAAAACUUAAAAAAAAAUUAAGAGCUUGAACUUAGAUAUUUAUCUUGAAAGAUCUUCAAAUGGGUGUCUACCAAGUUUGAUCAAAUAAAAGCCCCUGGGUUAAAAUUGGCCUCACCCCGGGGGGGGGCCUAUAUACAGGUGAGCGUCUUCAGGGCCAUUAUGGCCCUCUUGUUUUUUUCUUGUGAAUGAUUUUCUAUGUCAUUAUUUGAGAAAUUAUUAAUUAGUUAGCUUACAUACUUGCUGAUAAAGCUUAGAAAUCCUAAAAUAGUUUACUUGGUACAAGUAGAUGAAAACUGAUCUACCUUUAGUGUCUACAUGUAAGUUAUUUCUGAUUAUAUUUGAAGUAAUGCUGGUCACAUGACUAUUGUGGUUAAAAUAAAAACAAAUUUGAAAGAAAUUUGUUAAAUUAUUACCAUUGAUUUACCAAAAAUAAGAUAAUAAUCUGUAGGCUCUUGCUUUGAUUUAAUGCAUAUUUAGUAAACACUGUACAAUGUAACAAUGUGAAUGGGAAUCAUGAUUUCACUGAACAUAGUAACAAUAUGACUGGGUAUCUGACUCAGAAAGUUUAAUAUUAAACCAGUGCUGAAGACACAAAUUGUACUCUAAAACCUGAAAUUAAAUAUGCAUUGCCUACUCAAUAACUAGCUUAUACCAACCUAUUUAUAUUUAGUGUUGGUCAAGUUUGAUCUUGCUGUUAUUCUAUUGUUACUAUUGACUUAGGAUGUUAACUUCAUAGGCAGAGAAAUAUUUGUCAAUUUAUCCCUGUGAUUCUGAGUGACCUUACAGCCAACUUAUGUACUCUUUUUUUUUGUUAUGUUUAUGUGAUCAAACCUUGAUACAUUAUAUUUAGGACUGUGGUUAUACAUGUAUGUUAAAUCAAUAAAAUAUUGCAUUUGUAAUUUCAUAUACACAUUGUUUUGAAAAUCAAGACUUAGAGGUAUGAAAUAAAUUCAUUGAUGAUCUA